GUGCCUUAAACUAAUGAGUAAGGAAAAUUGUGUGUCUUGGUAACGCUUGGCACUACCAAGCAUCGUUGGUACCAAUUUUUGGAGGGAAACAGGUCGUCCCCGUGUGGUCUGCUUACUUUCGCAGACUGCUGGGUUGUUGCGAUCUACCCC